GCCCGGCUAGCUCAAUCGGUAGAGCGUGAGACUCUUACUUGUAAUCUCAAGGCUGCGGGUUCGACCCCCGCGUUGGGCU
rnacentral:tRNA from 1 species